GACGAACGCUGGCGGCAUGCCUAAUACAUGCAAGGCGAGCGAACAGAUGAAGUGCUUGCACUUCUGACGUUAGCGGCGAACGGGUGAGUAACACGUAAGGAAUCUACCUAUAAGCGGGGGAUAACAUUCGGAAAAGGGUGCUAAUACCGCAUAAUAUCUUCUUCCGCAUGGAAGAAGAUUGAAAGACGGCUCUGCUGUCACUUAUAGAUGACCUUGCGGUGCAUUAGUUAGUUGGUGGGGUAAUGGCCUACCAAGACGAUGAUGCAUGGCCGACCGGAGAGGGUGAUCGGCCACAUGGGGCCCGGGACACGGCCCAAACUCCUACGGGAGGCAGCAGUAGGGAAUCUUCCGCAAUGGGCGAAAGCCUGACGGAGCAAUGCCGCGUGAGUGAAGAAGGCCUUCGGGUCGUAAAACUCUGUUAUAAGAGAAGAACAAAUUGUAGAGUAACUGCUACAGUCUUGACGGUAUCUUAUCAGAAAGCCACGGCUAACUACGUGCCAGCCGCCGCGGUAA
rnacentral:rRNA from 1 species